rnacentral:lncRNA from 1 species
ACGAAAAGAAGGAUGACACAUCCACAUGCUGGAAACCUGACUAUUGCGUCCCGGGUUUGAGAGUUUUUGAAUAUAAAAUCAUUCCUCUUUAGGGACGAUAUAAUCUUAUAACAAGCACAAAAAAACUUUGCGAUAUGUACUCACUUGUGUGACCUGUCCCGGUUCUCCUCCCCGAUGGCGUUGGAGGGUUAAAAUAUUCGAUGGCGCGAUGGCAUUGGAGGGUUAAAAUAUUCGAUGGCGUUUGUUAGGAAAUGAACUGCCGGCGAGAGAAGUAUUUUACGGAUCUUUGUCCGAUGCUAGGACUGUGCUCAUGUUUUUACGGACUGUGCUUUUGCUGAGGAAUGUUGGCAACCUCAAGUAAACUUCCGUGGAAAAG